rnacentral:rRNA from 1 species
ACGACGCUGGCGGCGUGGAUUAGGCAUGCAAGUCGAACGGUAGGAUACCUUCGGGUAUCUGAGAGUGGCGAACGGGUGAGUAACACGUAGGUGAUCUACCCUCAAGAUUGGGACAACCCAGGGAAACUUGGGCUAAUACCGGAUGAAAGCAGCAGUGAUGUUGUUUGAAAGAUGGCAGUAAUGCUGUUGUUUGAGGAUGAGCCUGCGUCCCAUUAGUUAGUUGGUAAGGUAAUGGCUUACCAAGGCGAUGAUAGGUAGGCGGCCUUAACGGGUGGUCGCCCACACUGGGAUUGAGAUACGGCCCAGACUCCUACGGGAGGCAGCAGUCGAGAAUAGUCUACAAUGGUCGAAAGACUGAUAGUGCGACGCCGCGUGAACGAAGAAGCCCUUCGGGGUGUAAAGUUCUUUUAUAUGUGAGCAAUGCCUUUUAUGUGAAUAGCAUGAGAGGAGCGAUAUUAGCAUAUGAAUAAGCAACGGCUAACUCCGUG